ACUUGACCGCGGCUGGGAUUCGAACCCGCGACCUUCGCAUUUCUAGAAAUGCGAAGGUCGCGGGUUCGAAUCCCAGCCGCGGUCAAGUAGAAUUUUC